CUUUGUUAAUACAGCCUACCUUGCCCAUCUCAGCUUGAUGAGGGGCAAGCUCAGAUCUUUCCCCAAUGCUUCCAUGAACUUUGACCAAGAAGGACUUACUCCAUGAAAUAUGCGUUAGAUAAAACAUCAUAUCCUAAGAUGGGAAAAACCAACUGGAACUUAGCUUCUAUCCCCUGUGCCCAGGUUCUACAGAGAAAAACAAAACAUGAUCAGCAGGCAGAAGAGGUCCUCUCUCCAAUCCUGUACACCUAAGAGAAUGUUGACUUAUUGUCAGCUCAUCUGUAGAACAAGUAGUGAAUGCAGAGAAAGCCAUAUGUGAAGUAGUUCAAUAAGCAACCGAUGUCUUUAUUGUGUGUUUGAGAUCUUUCUUUCCCACAAUUCUGUUAGGUACAACAACUAUGACCGAGCUGUCAUCAACACCGUACCUUAUGAUGUCGUUCAUCGUUGGUAUACAGCACAUCGGACUCUAACAAUUGAGUUGAGGAGACCUGAGAAUGAGCUUUGGGUCAAACUAAAGCCUGGGAGGGUCCUAUUUAUAGACAACUGGCGAGUCCUACAUGGCAGGGAAUCCUUCACUGGCUACCGCCAACUCUGUGGCUGCUAUUUAACAAGAGAUGAUGUCUUAAACACUGCUCGUCUCUUGGGGCUUCAGGCUUAAGUUUGACAGCAUUGGGAUUAUGAACAUACCUGGCACCUUGGCUACCAGAAUUUCUUAUCAGCAGAAUACGGUGUCAGAAUCUACUUCGUGUUGUCUCUUUUGUCCCAUCCCCACGAAGCAGAAGCUGCCCCUUUCUCUAGCAUGGGAACGUGUUAGAGACAGGAGGGGCUUCUGAGAUACCUAAUGUAUCUCAGAACCAUCUAGUGGGGUAGAUCUCUCCCCCAAGCUGUAACAGGAGCCUGCAUGUUUUCUAAAACUUCUGAGAUAAUUCUGGUCACUAUUAGUGCUUCAGAAAUAUAGAAAAUUUAUUUGAUUCUCCAUAUUGAAAUCAAAGCAAUAAUACUGAGUAGGUAAAUUUUUCUUCAGACCAGGACAGUUGGAAUGAAAUGCAUCCUAGAAAUGGCAAAAUACUGAUAAGUCAGCAAUUCACAAAAAUUUUGGUCUUAGUAUCCACAAGGGAGAACAUUUGGCACUUGUCUUUCUUUCUGAUUCACUUCAUUUAACAUAAUGUUCUCUAGUCGCAUCUAUUUUUAUAUAAAUGAUAGCAUUCUUUCAUGACUGAAUAGUAUUCCAUUGCACAUAUGUACCACAUUUCCUUUAUCCAUUCAUCUAUUCGUGGGCAUCCAGGUUGAUUCCACAUCACGGCUAUUGUGAAUAAUGCAGCAAUAAACAAGACCACACAA